rnacentral:rRNA from 1 species
UACGGGGGGGGCAAGCGUUGUUCGGAAUUACUGGGCGUAAAGGGCUCGUAGGCGGCCAACUAAGUCAGACGUGAAAUCCCUCGGCUUAACCGGGGAACUGCGUCUGAUACUGGAUGGCUCGAGAUUGGGAGAGGGAUGCGGAAUUCCAGGUGUAGCGGUGAAAUGCGUCAGAUAUCGGGAGGAACACCGAUGGCGAAGGCG